UACAGAGGGUGCAAGCGUUAAUCGGAAUUACUGGGCGUAAAGCGUGCGUAGACGGUCAUGUAAGUCGGGUGUGAAAGCCCCGGGCUCAACCUGGGAAUUGCAUUCGAGACUGCAUGGCUAGGAUGCGGAAGAGGGAAGCGGAAUUUCCGGUGUAGCGGUGAAAUGCGUAGAUAUCGGAAGGAACACCAGUGGCGAAAGCGGCUUCCUGGUCCGGCAUCGACGUUCAGGCACGAAAGCGUGGGGAGCAAACAGG
rnacentral:rRNA from 1 species